AUUGAACGCUGGCGGCAGGCCUAACACAUGCAAGUCGAACGAGCGGCGGACGGGUGAGUAAUGUAUGGGGACCUGCCUGAUGGCGGGGGAUAACUACUGGAAACGGUAGCUAAUACCGCAUACCACCAGAUGAGCCCAUAUGGGAUUAGCUAGUAGGUGUGGUAACGGCUUACCUAGGCGACGAUCCCUAGCUGGUCUGCGAGGAUGAUCAGCCACACUGGGACUGAGACACGGCCCAGACGCCUACGGGAGGCAGCAGUGGGGAAUAUUGCGCAAUGGGCGAAAGCCUGAUGCAGCCAUGCCGCGUGUAUGAAGAAGGCCUUCGGGUUGUAAAGUACUUUCAGUCGGGAGGCGUUACCGACAGAAGAAGCACCGGCUAACUCCGUGCCAGCAGCCGCGGUAAUAC
rnacentral:rRNA from 1 species